GAUGAACGCUGGCGGCGUGCCUAAUACAUGCAAGUCGAGCGAACAGAUGAGGAGCUUGCUCCUCUGACGUUAGCGGCGGACGGGUGAGUAACACGUGGAUAACCUACCUAUAAGACUGGGAUAACUUCGGGAAACCGGAGCUAAUACCGGAUAAUAUAUUGAACCGCAUGGUUCAAUAGUGAAAGACGGUUUUGCUGUCACUUUUAGAUGGAUCUGCGCCGCAUUAGCUAGUUGGUAAGGUAACGGCUUACCAAGGCAACGAUGCGUAGCCGACCUGAGAGGGUGAUCAGCCACACUGGAACUGAGACACGGUCCAGACUCCUACGGGAGGCAGCAGUAGGGAAUCUUCCGCAAUGGGCGAAAGCUUGACGGAGCAACGCUGCGUGAGUGAUGAAGGUCUUCGGAUCGUAAAACUCUGUUAUUAGGGAAGAACAAAUGUGUAAGUAACUAUGCACGUCUUGACGGUACCUAAUCAGAAAGCCACGGCUAACUACGUG
rnacentral:rRNA from 1 species